rnacentral:tRNA from 1 species
GAGGGUACAGCUCAGUGGUAAAGCACAUGCUUAGUUAGCAUGCACGAGAUCCUGGGUUCAAUCCCCAGUACCUCCG